rnacentral:tRNA from 1 species
AAGCCAUUACCUGGGGAAAAUUUGUCUUGAAAACAAAUUAUAAGUGUUCGAAUCGCUUGAUGGCUUC